UGGCGCACGGGUGAGUAACGCGUGGGAACCUACCCUGGGGUACGGAAUAACAGCGGGAAACUGCUGCUAAUACCGUAUACGCCUUUAGGGGGAAAGAUUUAUCGCCCUGGGAUGGGCCCGCGUCCGAUUAGUUAGUUGGUGGGGUAACGGCCUACCAAGGCUUCGAUCGGUAGCUGGUCUGAGAGGAUGAUCAGCCACACUGGGACUGAGACACGGCCCAGACUCCUACGGGAGGCAGCAGUGGGGAAUCUUGGACAAUGGGGGCAACCCUGAUCCAGCCAUGCCGCGUGAGUGAAGAAGGCCUUAGGGUUGUAAAGCUCUUUCAGUGGUGACGAUGAUGACGGUAACCACAGAAGAAGCCCCGGCUAACUCCGUGCCAGCAGCCGCGGUAAU
rnacentral:rRNA from 1 species